rnacentral:misc_RNA from 1 species
GUGAAUCAUCGAAUCUUUGAACGCACAUUGCGCCCUUUGGCAUUCCGAGGGGCAUGCCUGUUCGAGCGUCAUCUAAACAAUCAAGCACCGCUUGGUAUUGGGCCCAGUCUGGCGACCGGCCCGCAACCCUUUGGCGGCACCGUCCGGCUCCAAGCGUAGCAAGAACAUCGCUUUAGGACGUCGCGGCGGCGCCUGCCGACAGCAGCAGACCUAGAGUUUGACCUCGGAUCAGGUAGGGAUACCCGCUGAACUUAAGCAUAUCAAUAAGCGGAGGA